AUUGAACGCUAGCGGGAUGCCUUACACAUGCAAGUCGAACGGAGUGGCGAACGGGUGAGUAAUGUAUCGGAACGUGCCCAGUAGCGGGGGAUAACUACGAGAAAGCGUAGCUAAUACCGCAUACUCUUGGAGCGGCCGGUAUCGGAUUAGCUAGGUGGUGGGGUAACGGCUAACCAAGGCGACGAUCCGUAGCUGGUUUGAGAGGACGAUCAGCAACACUGGGACUGAGACACGGCCCAGACUCCUACGGGAGGCAGCAGGGGUGAAUUUUGGACAAUGGGGGAAACCCUGAUCCAGCCAGCCCGCGUGUUCGAUGAAGGACUUCGGGUUGUAAAGCACUUUUGGCAGGAAAGCGGUACCUGCAGAAUAAGCACCGGCUAACUACGUGCCAGCCGCCGCGGUAAUUC
rnacentral:rRNA from 1 species